rnacentral:rRNA from 1 species
GACGAACGCUGGCGGCGUGCCUAAUACAUGCAAGUCGAGCGCAGGAAACUGACGGAACUCUUCGGAGGGAAGGCAGUGGAAUGAGCGGCGGACGGGUGAGUAACACGUAAGGAACCUGCCUCAAGGAUUGGGAUAACUCCGAGAGAUCGGAGCUAAUACCGGAUAGUUCAACGGACCGCAUGGUCCGCUGAUGAAAGGCGCUCCGGCGUCACCUUGAGAUGGCGUUGCGGUGCAUGAGCCAGUUGGUGGGGUAACGGCCCACCAAGGCGACGAUGCAUAGCCGACCUGAGAGGGUGAUCGGCCACACUGGGACUGAGACACGGCCCAGACUCCUACGGGAGGCAGCAGUAGGGAAUCUUCCACAAUGGACGAAAGUCUGAUGGAGCAACGCCGCGUGAGUGAUGAAGGUUUUCGGAUCGUAAACUCUGUUGUAAGGGAAGAACACGUACGAGAGGGAAUGCUCGUACCUUGACGGUACCUUACGAGAAAGCCACGGCUAACUACGUGCCAGCCGCCGCGGUAA